rnacentral:rRNA from 1 species
UUGGACGGCCAUAGGGGCCGGGUUCCACCCAGUCUCAUUUGAACCUGGCAGUUAAGCCGGCUUCCGUAUCAGGCUGUACUGCAUUCCGCGGGAAAUCUGAUAAGCUGUCCGCC